rnacentral:rRNA from 1 species
UACGUAGGGUGCGAGCGUUGUCCGGAUUUAUUGGGCGUAAAGAGCGUGUAGGCGGCUUUGCAAGUCCGUUGUGAAAACUCGAGGCUCAACCUCGAGACGCCGGUGGAAACUGCAAAGCUAGAGUCCGGAAGAGGAGAGUGGAAUUCCUGGUGUAGCGGUGAAAUGCGCAGAUAUCAGGAAGAACACCCGUGGCGAAGGCGGCUCUCUGGUACGUGACUGACGCUGAGACGCGAAAGCGUGGGGAGCGAACAGG